UAGGCCUAACCACAUUAGACAUUUCUAAAAUAUUUGUUUUUCUUUCAAAAUUUUGUUCCAUUUCCAGGCUGAAAAAUGAACCAGUUGAAAAAGACAAGAAGGACCAAGAGUGGUGGCAAUGGUAACCAGUCUUCGUCCAGGAAAUGCUCAGAUAAUCUAAACAGAACCCCCAAAAAUGGCCUAAAUGUUU